rnacentral:rRNA from 1 species
UACGAAGGGGGCUAGCGUUGUUCGGAAUCACUGGGCGUAAAGCGCACGUAGGCGGAUGUGCCAGUCAGGGGUGAAAUUCCGGAGCUCAACUUCGGAACUGCCUCUGAUACAGCACGUCUUGAGUCCGGAAGAGGUGGGUGGAAUUCCUAGUGUAGAGGUGAAAUUCGUAGAUAUUAGGAAGAACACCGGUGGCGAAGGCGGCCCACUGGUCCGGUACUGACGCUGAGGUGCGAAAGCGUGGGGAGCAAACAGG